rnacentral:rRNA from 1 species
GACGAACGCUGGCGGCGUGCCUAAUACAUGCAAGUAGAACGCUGAAGGAGGAGCUUGCUCUUCUGGAUGAGUUGCGAACGGGUGAGUAACGCGUAGGUAACCUGCCUGGUAGCGGGGGAUAACUAUUGGAAACGAUAGCUAAUACCGCAUAAAAUUGAUUAUUGCAUGAUAGUCAAUUAGAAGGUGCAAUUGCAUCACUACCAGAUGGACCUGCGUUGUAUUAGCUAGUUGGUGAGGUAACGGCUCACCAAGGCAACGAUACAUAGCCGACCUGAGAGGGUGAUCGGCCACACUGGGACUGAGACACGGCCCAGACUCCUACGGGAGGCAGCAGUAGGGAAUCUUCGGCAAUGGACGGAAGUCUGACCGAGCAACGCCGCGUGAGUGAAGAAGGGUGUCGGAUCGUAAAGCUCUGUUGUAAGAGAAGAACGAGUGUGAGAGUGGAAAGUUCACACUGUGACGGUAUCUUACCAGAAAGGGACGGCUAACUACGUG